UACGAAGGGGGCUAGCGUUGUUCGGAAUCACUGGGCGUAAAGCGCACGUAGGCGGAUUGUUAAGUCGGGGGUGAAAUCCUGAGGCUCAACCUCAGAACUGCCUUCGAUACUGGCAAUCUCGAGUCCGGAAGAGGUUGGUGGAACAGCUAGUGUAGAGGUGAAAUUCGUAGAUAUCGGGAGGAACACCGGUGGCGAAGGCGGCGACCUGGGACAAUACUGACGCUGAGGUGCGAAAGCGUGGGGAGCAAACAGG
rnacentral:rRNA from 1 species